UACGGAAGGGGCUAGCGUUGCUCGGAAUCACUGGGCGUAAAGCGCACGUAGGCGGCUUUUAAGUCGGUGGUGAAAUCCUGGAGCUCAACUCCAGAACUGCCUCCGAUACUGAAAGGCUUGAGUCCGGGAGAGGUGAGUGGAACUGCGAGUGGUAGAGGUGAAAUUCGUAGAGUAUUCGCAAGAACACCAGUGGCGAAGGCGGCUCACUGGCCCGGUACUGACGCUGAGGUGCGAAAGCGUGGGAGCA
rnacentral:rRNA from 1 species